GAUGGUGAUUCUAGCGGCAGGGCAAUACCUGGUCCCAUCUCGAACCCAGUAGUCAAGCCUGCCAGCGCCGAUGGUACUUCAAGGGUAGCCUUGCGGGAGAGUAGGUCAUCGCCAUCA
rnacentral:rRNA from 1 species